AUUGAACGCUGGCGGCAGGCCUAACACAUGCAAGUCGAGCGAGCGGCGGACGGGUGAGACAUGCCGGGGAAUUGCCCAGUCGAGGGGGAUAACAGUUGGAAACGACUGCUAAUACCGCAUACGAUUGGAUUGCCCAGGUGAGAUUGGCUAUUGUGUGAGGUAAUGGCUCACCAAGGAGACGAUCCCUAGCUGGUCUGAGAGGAUGAUCAGCCACACUGGAACUGAAACCCGGUCCAUACUCCUACGGGAGGCGGCGGUGGGGAAUAUUGUACAAUGGGGGAAACCCUGAUGCAGCCAUGCCGCGUGUGUGAAGAGGGCCUUCGGGUUGUAAAGCACUUUCAGCGAGGAGGCGUUACUCGCAGAAGAAGCACCGGCUAACUCCGUGCCAGCAGCCGCGGUAAUAC
rnacentral:rRNA from 1 species